rfam:Lepisosteus oculatus linkage group LG2, whole genome shotgun sequence.
GCCAGCAGUCAUAUCACCCUGCACCUCCCAGCUGGCAGCCCCGCUGAAGCCCAGCAGUGUGAGCCUGGCCAGUACCUGGAUGGGAGACUCCUGGGAAAGCUGAGGCUGCUGCUGGAA